rnacentral:rRNA from 1 species
AUGGCGCGCCUCCUCGCCGUCCGGGGCAUCUCCUCGUCGCCGCACCUCGCGUGGAGGGUAAAGCAAACAGAGAAUGAGAUUGUCCAGAUGUUCCAGCCCCCGGUUCGUCAGAGUGAGGAGGCAGUAGCAACCACUGGACCAAGGUACACGCAUUCCAUACGAGUCAUGGAUGAGAGAUUCAUUAGGAUCCUGAAGAUAUUCAAGUGGGGCCCUGAUGCUGAGAAGGCGUUGGAGGUAUUAAUGAUGAAAGUUGAUCACUGGUUGGUAAGAGAGGUUAUGAAAACCGAUGUCGGGGUCAGUGUGAAGAUGCAAUUUUUCAGAUGGACAGCAAGGAAGAGGAAUUACGAACACGACACAUCCACUUACAUGGCAUUGAUACGUUGUUUAGAGGUAGUAGAGCAGUAUGGUGAAAUGUGGAAAAUGAUCCAAGAAAUGGUACGGAAUCCUGUAUGUGUUGUCACGCCGAUGGAGCUAUCAGACAUCAUCCGGAUGCUGGGGAAUGCCAAGAUGAUCAGUAAGGCAGUUGCAAUCUUUUACCAAACCAAGGCACGAAAGUGUCAACCCACUGCUCAGGCAUAUAAUAGCAUGAUAAUCAUGUUAAUGCAUGAGGGGGAGUAUGAGAAAGUGCAUGAACUUUACAAUGAGAUGAGCAACGAGGGCCAAUGCUUCCCAGACACCGUGACUUACAGUGCACUCAUUUCUGCUUUCUGCAAACUUGGUCGCCAGGAUUCAGCAAUUUGGUUGUUGAAUGAGAUGAAGGACAAUGGAAUGCAGCCAACUGCUAAGAUAUAUACCAUGCUAAUGGCUUUGCUCUUUAAAUUGGACAAUGUUCAUGGAGCAUUGAGUUUGUUUGAAGAGAUGAGGCAUCAGUACUGCCGGCCAGAUGUGUUUACUUACACUGAAUUAAUCAGGGGACUUGGUAAAGCUGGGAGAUUUGAUGAAGCAUGUAACUUCUUCUAUGAAAUGCGACGAGAAGGCUGCAGGCCAGACACAGUUCUUAUUAACAAUAUGAUAAAUUUCUUGGGUAAGGCUGGUCGUUUGGAUGAUGCUAUGAAGUUGUUUGAGGAGAUGAAGACAUUAAGGUGUAUUCCUAGCGUGGUGACCUACAACACUAUAAUUAAAGCACUUUUUGAAUCUAAAUCUCGUAUUUCUGAGAUUUCAUCAUGGUUCGAGAGAAUGAAGGAAAGUGGAAUCUCCCCUAGUCCAUUCACCUACUCAAUCUUGAUUGAUGGAUUCUGCAAAACCAACAGGACGGAGAAGGCUAUGAUGCUGCUGGAGGAGAUGGAUGAAAAGGGCUUCCCUCCAUGUCCAGCGGCAUAUUGCAGCCUGAUUGAUGCUCUUGGAAAAGCCAAACGGUAUGAUCUUGCACACGAGCUAUUUCAGGAACUAAAAGAAAAUUGUGGCUCCUCUAGUGCUCGAGUGUAUGCGGUGAUGAUAAAACACUUAGGGAAGGCUGGGCGGCUUGAUGAUGCUGUAGAUCUGUUUGAAGAGAUGAACAGACUUGGUUGCACUCCUAAUGUUUAUGCUUACAACGCCCUCAUGUCUGGAUUGGCAAGAGCAGGCAUGCUUGAUGAAGCCCUUACUACAAUGAGAAGAAUGCAAGACCAUGGGUGUAUUCCUGAUAUCAAUUCAUACAAUAUUAUCCUGAAUGCACUGGCAAAAACAGGAGGUCCUGAUCGUGCAAUGGGGAUGCUUUCUAAUAUGAAACAGUCUGCAAUAAAACCAGAUGCUGUGUCAUAUAAUACUGUUCUUGGUGCCUUGAGUCACGCAGGCAUGUUUGAGGAGGCAGCUAAAUUGAUGAAAGAGAUGAAUGCGUUAGGAUUUGACUAUGAUCUUAUUACAUAUUCAUCUAUACUUGAGGCGAUUGGAAAGGUUGAUCAAGAGUGA